UUGUCAUUAGUUGCUACGCAAGAGCACUCUAAUGAGACCGCCGGUGACAAACCGGAGGAAGGUGGGGAUGACGUCAAGUCCUCAUGGCCCUUAUGGGUAGGGCUACACACGUCAUACAAUGGGCGGUACAGAGGGUCGCCAACCCGCGAGGGGGAGCUAAUCCCUUAAAACCGUUCGUAGUCCGGAUUGCAGUCUGCAACUCGACUGCAUGAAGUCGGAAUCGCUAGUAAUCGCGGAUCAGCUUGCCGCGGUGAA
rnacentral:rRNA from 1 species